rnacentral:tRNA from 1 species
AACUAAUGAACUUGAAUAAGUAUUUGCUUUGAAAGCAAAUAAAAGAAAUCGAACUUUCUAUUAGUUU